rnacentral:rRNA from 1 species
UUCCGGUUGAUCCUGCCGGAGGACAUUGCUAUUGGGAUUCGAUUUAGCCAUGCUAGUCGAACGAGUUCAGACUCAUGGCGAAUAGCUCAGUAACACGUGGCCAAGCUCCCCUUCAGUCAGCGAUACCCUCGGGAAACUGAGGUUAACAGCUGAUACAAAACGCCAGCUGGAAUGCGGCGUUUCAGAAAGACAUCACUGAAGGAUGCGGCUGCGGCCGAUUAGGUAGACGGUGGGGUAACGGCCCACCGUGCCAGUAAUCGGUACGGGUGAUGAGAGUCAGAGCCCGGAGACGGAAUCUGAGACAAGAUUCCGGGCCCUACGGGGCGCAGCAGGCGCGAAACCUUUACACUGCACGGAAGUGCGAUAGGGGAAUCCCAAGUGCGAGGGCAUAUUAGCCCUCGCUUUUCUCGACUGUAAGGUGGUCGACGAAUAAGAGCUGGGCAAGACCGGUGCCAGCCGCCGCGGUAAUACCGGCAGCUCAAGUGAUGUCCCAUAUUAUUGGGCCUAAAGCGUCCGUAGCUGGCCGACCAAGUCUACCGGGAAAUCCACCCGCCCAACGGGUGGGCGUCCGGUAGAAACUGGCCGGCUUGGAACCGGGAGGCUCAGAGAGUACGUCCGGGGUAGGAGUGAAAUCCCGUAAU